rnacentral:lncRNA from 1 species
UUCUUUGAAAUAAAGUAGGUUGUUCUUGAACUUGAACCUAGAAGUAUCAAAAGACUUAAAAAAAGUAUUCUUGAUAUUAUAAAUAAGAGGAUCAAAGGACAUACUUGAUUGAGUUUGUUUGAAAAUAGUUGACUCAAAAGUCAAUGUUGAUUUCAUUGCUUGAAGAUGAAAUUAUUUUGGCUUCAAUAAAAUUAUCUUUUUUGAUGAAAAGUUAUAUUUUUUCUUUUAGGUGUAAGAUUAGAAUGUUUAAAAAGAGCAUUGGAUAAAACUUAUUAUUUUCCUAGUCGAUAAGUAAUAUUGAACUUGAAUCUUGACAAAGAGAUAUUCCAACAAGCUUGGCAACGAUUCAAAAUAUGUGCUGACAUGAAAUACUUGAGGUUCUUAUGACUUAUAUAUAUGUUGACUAAAAUAAAAUUGCCUUCUAGAUAAUGAUGCCAUUCUUAAAAAGAAUUCACAAUUAUAAGUCUU